UCCUACUUACCCAAAUUCACCAGUUCAGGUC
rnacentral:piRNA from 1 species